rnacentral:lncRNA from 1 species
AUUUAAUGCCUGAUUUUAUACAGUUGCAAAGUUUUGAUGGCAAUUGAUUCUGUGGAACAAUUUUGAGAUCAAAUACCCGUUUUGUCAUCAACCACCACCUGUUUUUAGUUUUCACAUAACAAAGAUUAAAUAGGAAGACUAGAAAUUCUGGCAAUUUAUUUGUUGCACACAAGAAAAUUUUUCAAUUAGAGGAAUCUGCUUCAUAUCUGGAUCUUGUAUUGUUGCUUCUGAAUUGUGGGUUUGUUUCUCAAGUCAUUUGACUGUGGCCAUGCUGGAG